rnacentral:tRNA from 1 species
GCGGAAGUAGCUCAGUUGGUAGAGCACAACCUUGCCAAGGUUGGGGUCGCGAGUUCGAGUCUCGUUUUCCGCUCCA